AGAGUUGAUCAUGGCUCAGGAUGAACGCUAGCGAUAGGCCUAACACAUGCAAGUCGAGGGCAGCACAUGAAGUAGCAAUACAGAUGGUGGCGACCGGCGCACGGGUGAGUAACACGUAUGCAACCUACCUUCAACAGGAGAAUAACCCGGCGAAAGUCGGACUAAUACUCCAUAAUACAGGGAUCCCGCAUGGGAAUAUUUGUUAAAGAUUUAUCGGUUGAAGAUGGGCAUGCGCUCCAUUAGCUAGUUGGUGAGGUUAACGGCUCACCUAAGGCAACGAUGGAUAGGGGAACUGAGAGGUUUAUCCCCCACACUGGUACUGAGACACGGACCAGACUCCUACGGGAGGCAGCAGUGAGGAAUAUUGGUCAAUGGAGGCAACUCUGAAACCCAGCCACGUCGCGUGAAGGAUGACGGCCCUACGGGUUGUAAACUUCUUUUGUAAGGGAAUAAAGUUUAGUACGUGUACUACUUUGCAUGUACCUUACGAAUAAGGAUCGGCUAACUCCGUGCCAGCCGCCGC
rnacentral:rRNA from 1 species